UGGGCAAAUCUGCUGAAAAGCAGAGACGCAAAGCUAUAGGGCCUUCGUCGUCAGACAUGGCAGCCAGUUGC
rnacentral:ncRNA from 1 species